AUCGCUUCUCGGCCUUUUGGCUAAGAUCAAAGUGUAGUAUCUGUUAUGGAUCUACACGGAUCUUAGCCAUUUGGUUGGUCAGCCCUUUUUAGGGCUGGCUGCCGGGGUCGAGAGGCGAUCAAAUCUACUACUCCAACUCACGCAAAUCUCGCCAACAACCGCUGUGGGGUUGCUCCCACACAUCCCUCGAAGCGCACAUGCC